ensembl:lncRNA
AUGAUGAGUGCAGAGCGCAGUUGUCCGGAGAUGGUCCUCUGGGGAAUUUCUCCGCCUUUUGUGAAGUGGGUGCUGAUGUCCUGUGGAUCGCCUCUGACUGUGGACAUCGCGGACGACACUAGCCCCACUCCAGACCCAGAGCCCAGCCCACCAUCUCCCCACUGCGCGGAGCAAAAGCCAGAUCCCACUGCUGACGGAGAGCCCACUGCAACGUGGCUAAGGCCUCCCUCUCCUGCCUCCUAUCAUCGAUACCACUUCAGCUCUGCCACCGCUGUGUCCUGGCAGCCCCUCAGUUCACCCUCAGCCCACAAUCUGUGCACUGGACUUGCUGCGGGUCUGCCACUCUCCAUCGGCGUCAUGGCUGGGGGAUCCCUUGUCUUUGCCUCUGAGUCCUGGACUCCGCCUCGGCCCUUCAACCCAGUGGCUCCACCAUGGCUCCUAGCCAUGGCCCGAUGGUCCAUCAGCUCCGCCGGGCUCCCUCGUCCCUCCGGCUCUACCUUGGUCUGUCGUCGACCAUCCGCUGCCUCAGGACUCCACUCCUCCUGCUCCACCUCGUCCCUCUGGAACUGUCAGGCUCCUCCUGCCUUCUGGAUCCUCGAUGUCGCCCUGGCUCAUCGGCUCCCCGUCUCCACCUCGGGCUCCUCCUCCACCUGCUCCGCCGCCAUCGGUCGGCCCCCUGGAGUCGUCGGCCCUUCCUUCACUAUGGCGCCUACCUCCGUUGGCUCCACCGUGGGCCACCAGCAUAGCUGUGGCCUGGGUACCGCCUGGCUCCUCCUCCGGCUCCCUCCUGUCAUCUUCCUGGCUCCUUCCUCCAUUUUCACUCCAUGGACUCUGUUGGUCAUCCUUCUCCCGGGACUCUGUCCUUUGCCCAAACCUCCACCUGUACAGGUUUCCAGCCAUCCCUCCAUCUCCUUCCUUCUCCAUGGUGUGGGGUCGCCCCUUCCGGGAGGGGGGGGCAAUCUGUCACACCCUAGGCCUGUUUUCAUUCCUCAUGUUUUCUGUGUGACUUAG